rnacentral:rRNA from 1 species
UACGAAGGGGGCUAGCGUUGUUCGGAAUUACUGGGCGUAAGCGGACGUAGGGGGACUAUUAAGGCAGGGGUGAAAUCCCGGGGCUCAACCCCGGAACUGCCUUUGAUACUGGUAGUCUCGAGUCCGGAAGAGGUGAGUGGAAUUCCGAGUGUAGAGGUGAAAUUCGUAGAUAUUCGGAGGAACACCAGUGGCGAAGGCGGUUGCCUGGAGCUUUGCUGACGCUGAGGCGCGAAAGCGUGGGGAGCGAUCCGG